UCUCCUGUUUCUCACAUGACCUUCAGGUUAAUGGAACUUUUUUUUUAAGAUUUAUUUAUUUAUUUGAAAAUCACAGUUACAUACAGAGAGGAGAGGCAGAGAGAGCGAGAGAGCGAGAGCGAGAGCGAGAGAGAGAGAGAGAGAGAGGUCUUCCAUCUGCUGGUUCAUUCCCCAAUUGGCUGCAAUGGCCAGAGCUGCACCAAUCUGAGGCCAGGAGCCAGUAGCUUCCUCCAGGUCUUCCUACAUGGGUGCAGGGGCCCAAGGAUUUUGACCAUCUUCUGCUUUCCCAGGCCACAGCAGAGAGCUGGAUUGGAAGUGGAGCAGCUGGGACUUAAACCUGUGCCCAUAUGGGAUGCUGGCAGUGCAGGUGGUAGCUUUACUUCAAUCCUCAUGAGUUUUUUGUGUUUGGCCAUAUGCUCCAAGCGGCAGGGGUCACCAGUCUUGAUGUGUCCUGUGAGAGCCCCCCCAGCCAUUAAACUGAGCUGGCCCAAGGUUCCAGAGAUGCCCUCUGGGAGCCCCGCAUCCUGCGAUCAGGUACCACCAGCUUCCCCUUCCCCCACUCUGGACACCUGGCCCCACACACUUACCAUUCCCAGGUGUCCAAGAUGGGCUGUGUUGUGGUGGAAAAGGUCAGAGAACAGCAGAUGCCGCACUAGCUCCUGAGUCUCCCAGCGGCAGAGACCCCUCCUUGGACCUCUCUCCUCCAGGAAUUUGGAACUCUAUGGUGUCACAAUCCAAUGUGAUUAUGUGGCAGUGAUGUCACCAUGCCUGAUUGGACAGCUCACAUAGCCGUCAGCACACAGGACCCAGAAGUCACAACAAAUCAGCAUCUUUACAGCAGGGAUGUGUACUCCAGGCCACUCCACAUGGUAGAGAGAUGAGGCCUGGAUUCAGGUGCCAAGGGCCUCCUCCAGGGCUGCACCCUUUCACCAGUGGGAUCCUGCCACCUGCUGGGACCCUCCUGCCUCCCCACAGGUCUACCUGGGAGAAUCCCACCUGGAGGCUGCAGUAACCUGCUUAGGGCAUGAGAUCCAAGGCUAAGAAGUUCGUGGUGCUGCCCAUGAGCCCAGUGCCGCCCACAGUGGAGCAGUUCCUGGAGGACGUGCAUGGAGCACGGGCCAAGACCUUGUCUUCACCGCGCUGGCCCCGGAAGACCCCCCAGGAGACCCCAGGAGGAGUGAGGACCCCGAGGCCCAGAGGGAGCGUCUGUACCAGCAGAGCCAGGCCUAAGUGACCGCCAACGUAUGGCUGCAGCGGGCAGGUGAGGGGCUGAGGCAGCAGUGCCAGGGCCUGCAGUGAGCCGGCGCCAAGCUGGAAGUGGACGUUGGCCACGUGAUGCGCUCAGUGCUGCCCGACGCCUCUGCCGCUACCUCCUCUGGCUGACCUGCGCCCUUCCCCGCCCCCGGCACAGGCUGGACCCUGUAUGGGCGCCUGAGACCACCUCCCCCCAGCGGACUCUGCCCAUCUCACGGGGCCACUCUGCUCCCUUGCCUGGCGCUGGAUCAGCGCACCACUCCCUGGCUGAGAGGAGGAGCCGGCAGCCCUGGCGGGGCCCCGCAGGCCUCAUGCUGCCACUCCUGGGCAGGAGCCUCCCCUUCAUCACUGCGGGAGAGGCUGAUGUGGGGGACAGCCGAGCGUCCAUGGGCUGGCAGGGCCUCUGUCCCUGGGAAGAUGUCCCUGCAUCCUGGGGGUCAGGACUGAGCCCCAGGGCCACAGGAGUUUCUCUUCCGCUGCCUGAGCUUCAGAGACCCCAGCCACAGCCUCUCAGCCGGGGCAGAGACUCCCCAGCCCACUAGGCACUGUCGGACCUGACAGAGUCUGGGCCACAGCCAAGGACGGAGCUGGACAGAGACGUCCCAGUGGGACAGUCUUCCUGGGCCAGUGGGGACCGCUGGCCUCCCUGCUCGUGGCCGGUGUGGGAGGCCCGCAUCUGCCCCACUCAUGCAGCAGAGGCAACUGGACAGCUCUGUUUUUUAAAGUUGUGCAACACUGAUGCAGGGGAUGUGGUCCUUCCGCCAGCCGGCGGCUUUACAUGGGGUGCUGGCGGGUGCCGCGCUAUGUACACAUGGGACAGAUGCUGCAGGGCGGCGUGAGGAACAGGAGGGUGGGUGGAGGGAAGGCUGCCAAGUGGCCGCUGAUCCUCAGUGGCCCUA